rnacentral:rRNA from 1 species
UGCAGUCGAACGGCAGCAUAGAGAGCUUGCUCUCUGAUGGCGAGUGGCGAACGGGUGAGUAAUAUAUCGGAACGUGCCCAGUAAUGGGGAAUAACUAACUGAAAGGUUAGCCAAUACCGCAUACGACCUACGGGUGAAAGCAGGGGAUCUUAGGACCUUGCGUUAUUGGAGCGGCCGAUAUCUGAUUAGCUUGUUGGUGGGGUAAAAGCCUACCAAGGCAACGAUCAGUAGCUGGUCUGAGAGGACGAUCAGCCACACUGGAACUGAGACACGGUCCAGACUCCUACGGGAGGCAGCAGUGGGGAAUUUUGGACAAUGGGGGAAACCCUGAUCCAGCCAUCCCGCGUGAGUGAAGAAGGCCUUCGGGUUGUAAAGCUCUUUCGAAAGUGAAGAAAACUUAUUUCGUAAUAUGUUAUAAGUAUGACGGUAACUUUAGAAGAAGCACCGGCUAACUACGUGCCAGCAGCCGCGGUAAUACGUAGGGUGCGAGCGUUAAUCGGAAUUACUGGGCGUAAAGCGUGCGCAGGCGGUUUUGUAAGUCAGAUGUGAAAUCCCCGAGCUUAACUUGGGAACUGCGUUUGAAACUACAAGACUAGAGUGUGUCAGAGGGGGGUAGAAUUCCACGUGUAGCAGUGAAAUGCGUAGAGAUGUGGAGGAAUACCAAUGGCGAAGGCAGCCCCCUGGGAUAACACUGACGCUCAUGCACGAAAGCGUGGGGAGCGAACAGGAUUAGAUACCCUGGUAGUCCACGCCCUAAACGAUGUCAACUAGUUGUUGGUGGAGUAAGAUCCAUGAGUAACGUAGCUAACGCGUGAAGUUGA